GUCCGCUUAUGUGUUACACUACCAAUAAUACUGGGUGUUCCUGUAGCUGUUAUUGUGAUAUAUUUAAGGAAAAAAAAUAAAACCUCACCAAGAUCUCAGGAUAUGGAACUUCAAAUAACCCGACAUGGAGAUGACACUUAAGGUCUUUGAGGCAUGAGAGCAACACAGUAUGAUGGUUUCUGUUACUUACUUUAUAUACAAUCUCUUAAUUGUGUCACAUCAUGUCCUUUUUAUUUCAAAUGUACAAAACACAUUCUACACCAGGAACACUGUUAUUGUAAUUGAUGCUUUAUAUAUAACCUGAUUAUAGAGAAAUUUGUAAGCAGCCAUUAAAGUAAUUAGUUGCCGAAGAAGUGCCAUUUAUUCUCUAAAUGAGGUGUCUUAAGUCUGCUCCGAAAUACUGUACAGUUUAUCUAGUUUAG